CCUACGGGAGGCUGCAGUGGGGAAUAUUGGACAAUGGGGGCAACCCUGAUCCAGCAAUGCCGCGUGAGCGAUGAAGGCCUUCGGGUUGUAAAGCUCUUUCGCACGCGACGAUGAUGACGGUAGCGUGAGAAGAAGCCCCGGCUAACUUCGUGCCAGCAGCCGCGGUAAUACGAAGGGGGCGAGCGUUGUUCGGAAUUACUGGGCGUAAAGGGCGCGUAGGCGGCCUUGCCAGUCGGAAGUGAAAGCCCCGGGCUCAACCCGGGAACGGCUUUCGAUACUGCAAGGCUUGAGUUCCGGAGAGGAUGGUGGAAUUCCCAGUGUAGAGGUGAAAUUCGUAGAUAUUGGGAAGAACACCGGUGGCGAAGGCGGCCAUCUGGACGGACACUGACGCUGAGGCGCGAAAGCGUGGGGAGCAAACAGGAUUAGAUACCCGGGUAGUC
rnacentral:rRNA from 1 species